rnacentral:rRNA from 1 species
CUACGGGGCGCUGCAGUGAGGAAUUUUGCGCAAUGGGGGAAACCCUGACGCAGCAACGCCGCGUGAGUGAUGAAGGCUUUCGAGUCGUAAAGCUCUGUCAAGUGGGAAGAACCUACUAAGUGCCAAUACCACUUAGUACUGACGGUACCACUGAAGGAAGCACCGGCUAACUCCGUGCCAGCAGCCGCGGUAAUACGGGGGGUGCAAGCGUUACUCGGAAUUAUUGGGCGUAAAGGGCGCGCAGGCGGCCAGGUAAGUCAGAGGUGAAAGCCCGGGGCUCAACCCCGGAAGUGCAUUUGAAACUACUUGGCUUGAGUAUGGGAGAGGGAAGUGGAAUUCCUGGUGUAGAGGUGAAAUUCGUAGAUAUCAGGAGGAACACCGGUGGCGAAGGCGACUUCCUGGACCAAUACUGACGCUGAGGCGCGAAGGCGUGGGUAGCAAACAGGAUUAGAUACCCUAGUAGUC